ACUCUCAUAAAAAAAAAGUUAUUAAAAGUUCAAUCUAGACAAGGGAGAUCAUAAUGCUUGUCAACAACAUGUCCCCAGUUUUAAGUUUAAGUAUUGCACUAUUGGGUCAGGCUAACUAGACAUCUUAGGACAUCUAUUUAAAAUAGAUCUAUUUAUAUUAGAUCUAGUGAUAUUACUAAAUUCAUUGAUAAAGUGAUGAAGGGUACAAAGUCCAAAACACUCCAGCAGAUGGAAACAACGACAGAUGAGCUGCCAUCAGUUGAUGUGGACGCACUUCGUGAUGAAUUUGAAAGCAGUAGUGAAUGGAGAAUCAGAAGAAAAUUUCUACAGUCUAACUGUAAUAGCCUGAGCCUUGACCGUCUUAUCUGCCUUUCCCGUUGUUUUGUCAAUGUAGCAGUCUAUGGUUGCUCAUAUCCUCCAGAUGUCAUGAGAGAGCUGAAUGAAAGAAGUGGUGGAAUAUUGGAAGAGGCUGCGAAAGAACAAAAGUCAGAUGCACAACAGAAUUACUCUAUGUCAUUUGUAAAAGGCUGCCAAUAGGUUUCAUUUUUUGUUGUAGUCAUUGUAUGAUUUCAAUAUGAUAUGAUUUAGAUUGACUUAGAGAAGAAAAUAUCUUUUUUACCCAAUUACAUGAAAGCCUAAAUGCUACUUAUUAAUGCCAAUGAAACUCUUGACUUGCUUUUUCCCAGUUAAACUAGAAAUUGUUUAGAACAUACUAAUGUUUUACAAACAUUACACUUAAACAUUUUUUACAAUGGAUGCUUGAACUAUGUUAAAAAAAACCAACACAGUCAAACAAUCAAAUAUUGUAGCUCCAUAUUCAGUAUCCUUUUUUUUUUUGCCAAAUAUAUAUAUCAUAUAAUAAUCUAGUAUUGCCUGUAUUGUUUAAAAAAACAACAACAGAGUAUAUUUUUACUUGAUCUCCUGCUAUUGAACCUAUUUUUAUUUAUCUCUAAAUUUUUAACAUAAACAAGCUUUUUUUUUUAAACAUUUUAUUUGUUCUCAUAAAUUUUGUACUACUGUUAGUAUUGUUUUUAUUUUUAUCUAUUUUUUUUUAAUUUAAUUUAAUUAAUUAAUUAACAAAAACAAAAAUCCAACAUAUUUUUGGUAGAAGUUCUCAUUAUUGUUCUAUUUGGUAGGGAACUAUAAGUUGCAGUACCAAACUUCAAACUAAUGAGAAUAUUGUUAGCCAAGUUUUGAAUAAAAACUGAUUAUUUCAGUGGUUUAUUGACUUUUAAAGCAAUGUUAGCCAUACUUUAUAUAUAUAUCAGCCCGCAUCACCCUUUAUUGCGGAGUAUUUAUUUGCCACCAAAGUAAAACUAAAAGCAAAACGCAAAGCUUAUAUUUGAAGAACAAUUUCUAAUGACAUCUGGAAACAUAUUGAUACAGUAUAUGCAGAUGAGGCAGAAUGUCAGGCAAUUUUGAAAUUUUAAACUUUUGUCCUUAUUUAAUGUCAGGAAACAGUCAAAAUUUGGGGAACUAAAUAUGUUACAGAGAAUAAUAGUCAUAGCUUGAGGAGCUUGAGGAGUUUUUAGACUUAAGUUACUUGAAUCAUAAAUACUUUGUACAUUUUGUAAAUAUAUUAAUACUACAUUGAAAGUAAAAUAUUUCAUGUCUUUGUUAUACAUUAUUUGUCUUUUAAACAAUUGAUACCGUACAUGAUCAUUUUUGAGUAGGCUAUGGAAAAAUGUUAGAAUAGUCUGGCAUUCAGUGGACUUAUUUUAAAAGUCUAGGAACCCUGUAGUAUAUGUAUAUACAAAAUCAAUUCCUACGUUUGGUUCAAAUAAUAGGCCUAGAUUAAAUUUGGGAGGAUUGGGGUGGGAGGUCGCCUUAUGUAAAAGGGACAUUACUGACACUUGUUAUUUUUUAAAAAAUGUACGAUCUAAUUGUUAGUUCCCAUGAGUCCAUUAAGAUCUUUAUGAAAUUUUAACAAAACUAGUUGUUGCGCAGCACCAGUUUAGGCGCUAAUUUCAGCUCCAUAGAAUAAUGAAAAGUCAAAAUAAACGAAUCAAAUUUUGCCUUUCAGUUGACGAGAGAGCAAAUUGUUAGGAAUUUAAUCAACAUUUAAAAAAAAAAAAAGGGAAAUGAAAUUGAAUGUACAACUGCCAAUAUUCUUGUAACUCUGUACUACUACAGCCUAUCAAUACUUCCUUUAGUUUGUACACUUCAUACACCAAAUUGUGUUAGCUAUUUAUAGUUUGCCCGCAAUAAAUGAAAAUUUUUUAAUGUAGAAAAAAAAGCAAAUUAAUUUAAGCAAAGCAUUGUAUUUCAAUACCUGUUUGCGAAACGUGUUAUAGAGCUAAAAGUAAGUCUUGCAAAAUAUAGAGGAAACCAAAACAUAAAAGGAAUACUGAAAAGGCGCGUGCAAAAAAAAAUAAUUCAGAAAUUCGUGCAUUAAAAAAAGUUAAAAUUGAGCUCUCAACUCAUUUUAUAAUAGAAAAAAUAAAAGAAGCAAAAAUAAA